rnacentral:rRNA from 1 species
GAUCAUGGCUCAGGAUGAACGCUAGCGGCAGGCCUAACACAUGCAAGUCGAGGGGCAUCACAGGUAGCAAUACCGGGUGGCGACCGGCGCACGGGUGCGUAACGCGUAUGCAACCUACCCAUAACAGGGGGGAUAACACUGAGAAAUUGGUACUAAUACCCCAUAACAUCAGAACCGGCAUCGGUUUUGGUUGAAAACUCCGGUGGUUAUGGAUGGGCAUGCGUUGUAUUAGCUGGUUGGUGAGG